ensembl:lincRNA Mirt1 myocardial infarction associated transcript 1
CUUUUGCAAUGCAGUUGUCAGCAGCAGUCAUGCAGCAGUAAGUGAUGGAGGCCUGAGAAGUGACCUGUUACCAUCUAAUCUCAGCAGUCACCAUUUGCCUCUCCACUGUCCCCUCCACGCCUCUGGUGAUGGCUUAGUGACUCUCCUUGCCCAGCAGGUCGGUUUUCCAAUUACUUCCAGCCGGGCCUGCUUUCCCCUGAAUUUCAUUUCCGGGCCUGUUGAAGCCAAAUUAAUUUUUAAUCACCUUUGAGGUGUUCUGUUUAAUUACCUGGGUUGAACUGACGAGAACAGUGUGUACAGAGGCGAAACUUUGGGGGUGCUUCUCAGGAACGGGGUGUGGGGUGUUUCUAGAGUGCUGUGCAGGUGGAGAGACAUGGGAUGCCCAGCAACAUGACAGACUAUGAGGACUAUGACGGACGGUGUAAGAGAAAGAAGAGAACCUCGUGAGUCUGCCUCACGUGACACAACCCAAAACUUCCCCUUCAGAUCCCUGCAAACGCCUGAGCUUGGAGUGGAGACUCUCACUUAGGAAGGAAAAAUGAGCUGAGGAUGUGCCAACAAACAGGCAUGUGCCAUCAAGGCCUGUUUAUGGCUGAAACCCAGGUCCUUGUGCAUAUGAGACCAGCACUCUACCAACUGAGCUAUGCGGGGACUCUGAAAACAGAUUUUUAAAAAUUCGGAUUUUUAUAAAUAAAUAUAUAUGUGUGUGUGUGUGUGUGUGUGUGUGUGUGUGUGUGUAUGAGUGUUUCCCCUAAAAGUUUGCAUGUGUGUGCAGUGCUCUGUGAAGGACACCAAACCCCCCUGGAACUGCUGUUAAAGAAGAUUGUAAGCCACCAAGAAUGGGUGUUGAGGAUAAACAGCAGUCCAGCAGAAGAGCAGCGCUUGUUCUUGACCACUCGGCCCUCUCUCUAGUCCCAGGAAGUAGAUUUCUAACAUUAUUUUACGUUAUUGAAGAAAGUUAAAGUAAUACUUUGUGGUAUGUUUUGUUGGAGGCCAGCAGAAUGGGUUUACACAUUGCCCGUUGCCAACCCUCAGAGGCAGAAGCGAACAGUAGUGACACACACUGAAUGGACUGCAAAUACUUACUUCUAACCAUUUCCAGAAAAAAAAAAAAGGCUCUCUGACCUUUGACCCAGGCCAGUUGUGACACUCUUCUCUCUUUUUCCCCCUAAGCUUCCUUGCAGCUAGGAGUGGCCACUUGUUCUCCUCAGUCAGGCAAAGAUCUGCAGGGGAGACUGGUAUAAAGCCCUGCUGUUCCAAAGGAAAGAGUGGGAUGUGUCUGGGAACUCUCCCACCUACUUCCUGUCUGAACUGUGAGUUAGCCCUGGGGAGCCCACCCAGCCCUCUUUUAGAACCCAUCUCCUGCUGAGAGACAGGAAGCACAGGGUCAUGAGUUCAAGUAGAAGGGCUGGGUCCCCGUUGGCUACUGUCCAGGAGAAGCGAAAUGCCUGCCCUGAGCACCUGCCCAGAGGUUAGGCUACUUGUAGCCUAGAUCCGAGGAGCCACUUGUCUGCCAGGAACUUGUCAGUGGCUCCUGAUUGCCAGACCCACAUCAGUACAUGGGAAGGUUAUAAGGUAAACUAAGGUCCACUGUUGGAUUCUGGGGUCCUAGAGGCAAAAUUUCUCAGUGUUUCCUUAUCCCCGAAACUCCUAUAGCUCUCAAAAGAUAAUAAUCAAAAUAAUGUUGGAUGGUUUGGAGGAUGUUUGAGAGAUGAAUAAAUGAAUGAAUGGAUGGAUGGAUGAAUGAAUGAAUGAAUGAAUGAAUGAAUGAAUGAAUGAAUGGAAGCAUAUAGUUAUCAAGAGGGAGCUACACAGAAUUGAAAGCAGCCUGGAAAGUCUGACCUAGGUAUUCUAUUAGUUAACAAAGGAAACCGGGUUUCCAUGAGUAUAAUUGGCUUUCCUAUGGUCACAAGAGUUAGGAGGAAAAAAGUUGGGAUCCCACCUUAAGGCUGGUUCAACUCCUUGGAUACUGGCCUCUCUGGCCUCAGCUCCUUGGACAUUCCUUGAGGCAAUGCCAGACAUAAUCUGUAGAAGUAGGUGACAAAUCUACCAUCACCUAGGGGAAAGCAUGAAAGGAAACUUGAUGAGUUUGGACGACUGCCAGUCACUGCCUCUCUCCCUCGCAUCCCCCAGUUCUGCUCCUAGAAUUGCCAGGAACACGUCACCUCCUUAGCAGGUGCUCGGAACAUAUUUGGAAGAUGAGUCCCCUCGUAUCAGUGCACAUUCCUCAGCAAAAAGUCACAGGCUGCAAAACUUC